rnacentral:rRNA from 1 species
GACGAACGCUGGCGGCGUGCUUAACACAUGCAAGUCGAACGCAGAGGCCCUGCCUUUGUUCGGUGCACGAGUGGCGAACGGGUGAGUAACACGUGAGUAACCUGCCCUUUACUUUGGGAUAACUUCAGGAAACUGGGGCUAAUACCGCAUAGUAGCUCCUGCUGCAUGAUGGUGGUUGGAAAGUUUCGGCGGCUGGGGUAGGACGUGCGGCUUAUCAGCUUGUAGGUGAGGUAGUGGAUUACCAAGGCUUUGACGGGUAGCCGCCCUGAGAGGGUGACCGGGCACAGUGGGACAGGGGUGGGGGCCAGAGGGCAACGGGAGGAAGGGGUGGAGGAUAUUGCGCAAUGGGCCGAAGGAGUAAGGAGCAAUGUCGGGUGGUGGAGGUCGGCUGUCGGGGUGGAAAGCGCGUGAGCGUGGGACGAAGAGUGAGUGACGGUAAUGGGUAAGAAAGCGCCGGCUAACUACGUG